rnacentral:rRNA from 1 species
ACGCUCGACACCUACGGGACGCAGCAGUGAGGAAUAUUGGUCAAUGGACGCAAGUCUGAACCAGCCAUGCCGCGUGCAGGAUGACGGCUCUAUGAGUUGUAAACUGCUUUUGUACGAGGGUAAACGCAGAUACGUGUAUCUGUCUGAAAGUAUCGUACGAAUAAGGAUCGGCUAACUCCGUGCCAGCAGCCGNGGUAAUCUGAGCGGGCUGGCAAGGC